UAAUACGUGUGGUCCUAGCGUUGUCCGGAAUAACUGGGCGUAAAGGGUGUGUAGGCGGAUAUCCGUGUCAGGUGUGAAAUUCCCCGGCUUAACUGGGGCAUUGCGCUUGAAACUGGAUAUCUGGAGCGUGUCAGGGGUAAGCGGAAUUCCCGGAGUAGCGGUGAAAUGCGUAGAUAUCGGGAAGAACACCGGUGGCGAAGGCGGCUUACUGGGACAUGGCUGACGCUGAGGCACGAAAGCGUGGGGAGCGAACGGGAUUAGAUACCCCGGUAGUCCACGCUGUAAACGAUGGAUACUAGAUGUCAGUUGCAUUAAAGCAGUUGGUAUCGAAGUUAACACGAUAAGUAUCCCGCCUGGGGAGUACGGUCGCAAGAUUAAAACUCAAAUGAAUUGACGG
rnacentral:rRNA from 1 species